CGGGUGAGUAAUGUAUGGGGAUCUGCCUGAUGGCGGGGGAUAACUACUGGAAACGGUAGCUAAUACCGCAUAAUGUCUGCGGACCAAAGCGGGGGACCUCCGGGCCUCGCGCCAUCAGAUGAACCCAUAUGGGAUUAGCUAGUAGGUGGGGUAACGGCUCACCUAGGCGACGAUCCCUAGCUGGUCUGAGAGGAUGACCAGCCACACUGGGACUGAGACACGGCCCAG
rnacentral:rRNA from 1 species